UGUGUAGGAGGCUAGGUAAGUCAGGUGUGAAAUCUCUCCGCUUAACGGGGAAAUGGCAUUUGAUACUGCUUGGCUAGAGGAUCGGAGGGGGGCGAACGGAAUUCUUGGUGUAGCAGUGAAAUGCGUAGAUAUCAAGAGGAACACCGGUGGCGUAGGCGGUUGCCUGAGAUUCCUGACUCUGAACACGAAAGCUAGGGGAGCAAACG
rnacentral:rRNA from 1 species